rnacentral:tRNA from 4 species
GUGUUUGUAGCUCAGUUGGAUAGAGCAACGGCCUUCUAAGCCGUGGGUCGGGGGUUCGAAUCCCUCCAAACACG